CCUACGGGAGGCAGCAGUGAGGAAUAUUGGUCAAUGGGCGAGAGCCUGAACCAGCCAAGUCGCGUGAGGGAGUACUGCCCUAUGGGUUGUAAACCUCUUUUGUCGGGGAGCAAAAGCCGGACGUGUCCGGCUGUGAGAGUACCCGAAGAAAAAGCAUCGGCUAACUCCGUGCCAGCAGCCGCGGUAAUACGGAGGAUGCGAGCGUUAUCCGGAUUUAUUGGGUUUAAAGGGUGCGCAGGCGGAUUUUUAAGUCAGCGGUAAAAUCGUGGGGUUCAACCCCAUCCAGCCGUUGAAACUGGGGAUCUAGAGUGUGCGAGAGGUAUGCGGAAUGCGUGGUGUAGCGGUGAAAUGCAUAGAUAUCACGCAGAACCCCGAUUGCGAAGGCAGCAUACCGGUGCACAACUGACGCUCAGGCACGAAAGCGUGGGUAUCGAACAGGAUUAGAUACCCGGGUAGUC
rnacentral:rRNA from 1 species